rnacentral:tRNA from 1 species
UAGCUCAGUUGGUAGAGCAGUUGACUCUUAAUCAAUAGGUCCAAGGUUCGAAUCCUU